UUGGGNGCUCUCCCNUAUGGUCGANCUGCAGGCGGCCGCGAAUUCACUAGUGAUUAGAGUUUGAUCCUGGCUCAGGAUGAACGCUGGCGGCGUGCCUAACACAUGCAAGUCGAACGAAGCAUUUUAGAUGAAGUUUUCGGAUGGAUUCUGAGAUGACUGAGUGGCGGACGGGUGAGUAACACGUGGAUAACCUGCCUCACACUGGGGGACAACAGUUAGAAAUGACUGCUAAUACCGCAUAAGCGCACAGUACCGCAUGGUACGGUGUGAAAAACUCCGGUGGUGUGAGAUGGAUCCGCGUCUGAUUAGCCAGUUGGCGGGGUAACGGCCCACCAAAGCGACGAUCAGUAGCCGACCUGAGAGGGUGACCGGCCACAUUGGGACUGAGACACGGCCCAAACUCCUACGGGAGGCAGCAGUGGGGAAUAUUGCACAAUGGGCGAAAGCCUGAUGCAGCGACGCCGCGUGAGUGAAGAAGUAUUUCGGUAUGUAAAGCUCUAUCAGCAGGGAAGAUAAUGACGGUACCUGACUAAGAAGCCCCGGCUAACUACGUGCCAGCAGCCGCGGUAAUACGUAGGGGGCAAGCGUUAUCCGGAUUUACUGGGUGUAAAGGGAGCGUAGACGGCAUGGCAAGUCUGAAGUGAAAACCCAGGGCUCAACCCUGGGACUGCUUUGGAAACUGUCAAGCUAGAGUGCAGGAGAGGUAAGUGGAAUUCCUAGUGUAGCGGUGAAAUGCGUAGAUAUUAGGAGGAACACCAGUGGCGAAGGCGGCUUACUGGACUGUAACUGACGUUGAGGCUCGAAAGCGUGGGGAGCAAACAGGAUUAGAUACCCUGGNUAGUCCACGCCGUAAACGAUGAGUGCUAGGUGUUGGGGGGGCAAAGCCCUUCGGUGCCGUCGCAAACGCAAUAAGCACUCCACCUGGGGGAGUACGUUCGCNAGAANGAAACUCAAAGGGAANUUGACGGGGGACCNGCACAAGCGG
rnacentral:rRNA from 1 species